AUUGAACGCUGGCGGCAGGCCUAACACAUGCGAGUCGAGCGGAUGAAGGGAGCUUGCUCCUGGAUUCAGCGGCGGACGGGUGAGUAAUGCCUAGGAAUCUGCCUGGUAGUGGGGGAUAACGUCCGGAAACGGGCGCUAAUACCGCAUACGUCCUGAGGGAGAAAGUGGGGGAUCUUCGGACCUCACGCUAUCAGAUGAGCCUAGGUCGGAUUAGCUAGUUGGUGGGGUAAAGGCCUACCAAGGCGACGAUCCGUAACUGGUCUGAGAGGAUGAUCAGUCACACUGGAACUGAGACACGGUCCAGACGCCUACGGGAGGCAGCAGUGGGGAAUAUUGGACAAUGGGCGAAAGCCUAAUCCAGCCAUGCCGCGUGUGUGAAGAAGGUCUUCGGAUUGUAAAGCACUUUAAGUUGGGAGGAAGGGCAGUAAGUUAAUACCUUGCUGUUUCGACGUUACCAACAGAAUAAGCACCGGCUAACUUCGU
rnacentral:rRNA from 1 species